GGAAUAUUGGACAAUGGGGGAAACCCUGAUCCAGCCAUGCCGCGUGAGCGAUGAAGGCCUUAGGGUUGUAAAGCUCUUUCAGCGGGGAAGAUAAUGACGGUACCCGCAGAAGAAGCCCCGGCUAACUCCGUGCCAGCAGCCGCGGUAAUACGGAGGGGGCUAGCGUUGUUCGGAAUUACUGGGCGUAAAGCGCACGUAGGCGGACUGUUUAGUCGGGGGUGAAAUCCCGGGGCUCAACCCCGGAACGGCCUCCGAUACUGGCAGUCUGGAGGAUGGGAGAGGCGAGUGGAAUUCCGAGUGUAGAGGUGAAAUUCGUAGAUAUUCGGAGGAACACCAGUGGCGAAGGCGGCUCGCUGGCCCACUUCUGACGCUGAGGUGCGAAAGCGUGGGGAGCAAA
rnacentral:rRNA from 1 species